rnacentral:rRNA from 1 species
UACGUAGGGUGCGAGCGUUGUCCGGAAUUACUGGGCGUAAAGAGCUCGUAGGUGGUUUGUCGCGUUGUCCGUGAAAACUCACAACUCAAUUGUGGGCGUGCGGGCGAUACGGGCAGACUGGAGUACUGCAGGGGAGACUGGAAUUCCUGGUGUAGCGGUGGAAUGCGCAGAUAUCAGGAGGAACACCGGUGGCGAAGGCGGGUCUCUGGGCAGUAACUGACGCUGAGGAGCGAAAGCGUGGGGAGCG